UUGAGGAAUUCACCAUCUUCCCAUCGCUCCUACCUUGAAAACUUUGUUACGCGAAAGGAUAGAUAGCCAAACAUCUCUCUCUCUCUCUCUCCCUCUCUCUCUCUCUAUAUAUAUAUAUAUUUGUAAAUAUAUAUAUAUAAUGCAAAUUCCUUCCCUCAGACUAGCCAUCCAUACAGCUUUGGUUCAUUGCACGUAAUAUUUAUAAUCAAGAACAACUAAAAAAAGAGAGAAAAGGAGGGCCUCACGCCCUCUUUCUGCUUCUUAUGCCUCUUCUCAGAUCUUAGAUUCUCUCAAAACUUCCCAUCUGGUCGUCUUCAUUGGGUGGUGUCCCGGGUGGUCGAUCGGUGAUUGAUCGGUGUAUGCUCGGAGGUUCCUGGAUUGAAUCCAAGAAAACCAUUUUUUUUUUUUUAAUCUUAAGAUUAGAGCAUCCGAGUUUUCUGUGAAUUCUGCGAGGAGAUGGAAAUGGAGCCUGGAAAGCUUUUCAUUGGUGGAAUAUCUUGGGACACAAAUGAAGACCGUCUUCGAGAGUAUUUCCAGUCUUUUGGAGUAGUAGUUGAAGCUGAGAUAAUGAAGGAUCGAGCCACAGGUCGUGCCCGUGGUUUCGGUUUUGUUGUUUUUGCAGACCCUGUUGUUGCAGAAAGAGUUGUUAUGGAAAAGCAUGUGAUAGAUGGCAGAACUGUUGAAGCAAAAAAAGCUGUUCCUAGAGAUGAUCAGAACAUUCUGAGCAGAAAAAAUGGCAGCAUGCAUGGGUCUCCUGGUCCUGCCCGUACAAAGAAGAUAUUUGUAGGAGGAUUAGCAUCCACAGUCACAGAGAGCAAUUUUAAGAAGUACUUCGAUCAAUUUGGUACAAUAACAGAUGUGGUGGUGAUGUAUGACCAUAAUACGCAAAGGCCAAGAGGAUUUGGGUUCAUUACAUAUGAUUCAGAGGAAGCAGUGGAGAAAGUAUUGUACAAAACCUUUCAUGAACUCAAUGGCAAACUGGUUGAAGUUAAAAGAGCUGUCCCCAAAGAACUAUCUCCAGGGCCAAGUCGGGGUCAAAUGGGUGGAUAUAACUAUGGUCUGAGUAGAGUUAGAAGCUUACUUAAUGGCUACGCUCAAGGAUACAAUCCAAGCUCAGUCGGAGGCUAUGGACAUAGAGUGGAUGGUAGAUUUAGUCCAGUUACAGCUGGUCGUAGUGGAUCUCCUUCAUUCAGUCCUGGAUAUGGGACAGGAUUGAAUAUUGAGCCCGGAUUGAGUCUAAGCUAUGGGGGAAAUGCAAACCUUAGUUCUAACCUUGGUUUUGGACGGGUUUUGAACCCUUUAUAUAGUGGAAAUUCGAAUAGGAAUGUUAACCCUGUUGGAUAUGGUGUGGGAAAUGGGGGGAAUAGUUCAGUCUUAAGUUCGGUAAGCCGUAAUCUGUUGGGGAAUGGGAGUCUUAAUUAUGCUACUAACUCUGCAAACUCCACUGCUCUGCUGGGCCUCAGAAAUGGAAGUUCAGGAAUAGAUUCUUUUGGCAAGAUUGGAACACUUUGGAGUUCCUCUCCUAACUCAGGUCAAGGGGGAGGUGCUGGUACCACCUACAGUAGUGACUAUCUUAGUUAUGGCAGUGGAGAAGUCAACUGUGGUUCAGGAGGGAUGGGUUAUGGAAGAAACAGUGGAACUGGCGUUUCACCGGUGUCAUCAAAUGCUGCAUCAAAUGGUGGUUACAUUGGAUCCUAUGGUUUGUUUUAUGGGGACCCAACUUGGCAAUCUUCACCUCCAGAACCGGAGGGGUCUGGCUCAUUUGGUUAUGGGCUUGGAAAUGCAGCUUCUGAUGUUUUAAGUAAAAACUCUGAUGAUUAUGUGGGUCUUUAUAGUGUUACCAAUAGACAAUCAUACAAAGGUAAGAUACUUUUUUCCUCUUAAUACUAUACUUCUUCCCCCCUACCCCUUCUCAAUGUUUCAUGUUCUCUUUUUACUGAGUUUCUUGUCUUCUCUGAGCAUAUGCAUCAGUCAUGACUUCUGGUUAUAUCAUGAAUCAGAGUUCCCAAAAUGUCUUAACACCACCAUUAUGGCCAAUUGUGUUAUCGAAUUGACUACAAUAUUUAAAUCCAUUCUUUAUCUGCAAUGGGAACAUAUAAAGUAGGCCAUUUAAUUUCAGAAUUAGUUCUGUAGUUGAUCUGAUACCAGAAUACGGGUUUUCUUCUUUGGCCAUUUCCUACCAGAUCAAUUGGAUCCUAAAUAUAGUUCAUGCGUAUGACAUAUACUUCCAAACAAAUUUGGUCUACUGCUGGGGAUUUUGUGAUCUCUCUGCCAUCCAUGUCAAAAUGCCAUCUAAUAAAUUAGGCAUGAGCUGAUUCUGCAGUCUGCGCCAUCUUCUCAAUUAUUUAUUCUGUUGAUCUUGAAACAAACUAUUUAUGUUAGGCUACUCUUUUCUGUUUUAUUUAUGUCUUUUUUAUCGAUGUGCUUCAGGAAUUGCUGUGUAGAAUGACCAUGAUAAGGAUCGCCAG